AACACUGUUAACCUGCGGUACCUGCGGAAGGAUCAUUACCGAGUUUACAACUCCCAAACCCAUGUGAACAUACCUAUCGUUGCUUCGGCGGAUCGCCCCGGGCGCCUUGCGUGCCCCGGAUCCAGGCGGCCGCCGGGGGACCUUAACUCUUGUUUUUACUGAGAAUCUUCUGAGUCGUUUUUACAAAUAAAUAAAAACUUUCAGCAAUGGAUCU
rnacentral:misc_RNA from 1 species